rnacentral:misc_RNA from 1 species
GUGGCUGCUCUGCCGCGACGGGUGAGACCGAGAGUCGGGGCCGGGCCGACCGCGUAGCCAUCAUUGUUCAGUUCAGGAAGUAGUAGUGAAGUGCUAGUGUGUCUCGGUUCUGUACUCCCGGAGGCUUCUGCCGACAUUGCCAGGGAAAAUGAGAUGUUAUAACUUACUUCACUGCAUGGUUUUGGCAGCUCAGCAUCUACCUGUAGUUACAAGAGAGAGGUAAACCCAUCGUUAGAACUUCAACUUUUGUAUCAACUGAGCAUCACUUAACACACAACAAUGGCAUCGGCGGGAUGUAGCCCGAUAGAGGACACUAACCUGAGGUGACGGUAGAACGGAGGACACUGAGGGCAGUGCCCCGUCGCUCAUCACGCGUAGGCCUACAGUUUCCAAUCUUUAAUUUUUACUUUUAUUUCUUACGGUUCUCACCUGAACACUUUCCG